rnacentral:rRNA from 1 species
AUUGAACGCUGGCGGCAGGCCUAACACAUGCAAGUCGAGCGGAGCGGCGGACGGGUGAGUAAUGCCUAGGAAUCUGCCUGGUAGUGGGGGAUAACGUCCGGAAACGGGCGCUAAUACCGCAUACUAUCAGAUGAGCCUAGGUCGGAUUGGCUGGUUGGUGGGGUAACGGCCUACCAAGGCGACGAUCCGUAACUGGCCUGAGAGGAGGAUCAGUCACACUGGAAGUGAGACCCGGUCCAGACUCCUACGGGAGGCAGCAGAGGGUAAUAUUGGGCAAAGGGGGAAAGACUGAUCCAGCCAGGCAGCGAGUGUGAAAAAGGUCUUCGGAUUGUAAAGCGCUUUUAGUUGGGAGGCGUUACCAACAGAAUAAGCACCGGCUAACUUCGUGCCAGCAGCCGCGGUAAUAC